rnacentral:rRNA from 1 species
CGUAGGCGGCUUAUCAAGUCGGGGGUGAAAGCCCGUGGCUCAACCACGGAAUGGCCUUCGAUACUGGUAGGCUUGAGACCGGAAGAGGACAGCGGAACUGCGAGUGUAGAGGUGAAAUUCGUAGAUAUUCGCAAGAACACCAGUGGCGAAGGCGGCUGUCUGGUCCGGUUCUGACGCUGAGGCGCGAAAGCGUGGGGAGCAAACA